rnacentral:rRNA from 1 species
CCUCUCGGGGGUAAGCGGACAGAACUUGCAAGUAUUGGUGGGAGAUUCAGGCUUAGUGCUCGGCGGCUGGAGGUGCUUAGUUAAGUUGGCCAUUCGUGGUUCGGCUGGUGUGUGCUUCUUGAUCUGUCGGUACUGCGCCGCAUUUCUCUCUAUCAUCCGGGUUACGUGCCAUUGUAUGGUAGUCUAGGUGCUGGGUGUCUGCGAAUCCUCGUGGUUUGAGCCCUAGUUUCCGACUACUGUAGCGAUGGUUGUUUUGGAGUGUACAAGCGUUUGUCGCGGUUGGGGCCUUUGGCGAGCAGGGUGCACAUGAUGUGUGGACGGGUAACCGUAGCAUGUUGUGUGUACUGGUUGACAGCCAGAGGUUUUCCAGCUUUGUACCGAGAAUCGUAAUCUAAAGCAUGCGUGGUCUGCCUGU